CAUGUUCCUGCCUUCAUGAUAAUGGACUGAACCUCUGAACCGGUCUUCUGUCUGGUGGCACAGCCCGCUGCCCCAUAGCUCACUGCAAGCUCAUGACUUGGAAGGAAAGAACCAACUCCAGGACAUUGUGGGGUGACCUCCACGUGCGCAGUGACACUUGUAUGCCCAUACACAUUCAUACAUGCCCGCAGAACAAAGAAAGGCAAAGGAAUCAGCGGGGGCAGCAGCACAGGGGCAAAUGAACUUAGAGGCAAGACAGCAGAAGGUGGGAUGGUCUUCCCUCCAUUUUUUAUCUGGACGCUCCGUGAAGAAGCUCUCCCCACAAUGCAUGUGAGUGAGGGACGGGGAGCAGGUCUUCUCACAUCAGUCAAGGCAAGCUCCCAUCUACUCUGUAGCUACUGAGCAGGGGCAGAAUGUGGGGGCUCUGGGAAGAAAAUGGACAAUUAUAGGUACUCAUGAUAAGAAUGUUAUGCUUUCUUGAUGGGUUUUUAUAUUUGGACAUUUUCAGUGAAAAACAUAUGCAGUCUCUGAGGAGCAGAGGCUCAACAUUUCCCUCAUCUACAAAGUGAGCCCAAGACAAGGUGGAAAUGAGGAAAAAUCACAAAGAACAAGAAGAUAGCUAAGUUAGGGAGACGGUUUAUCACUGGACAACUCUCCCAGUCUUACACUUCCCUGGUGCCUGUUCACCUGUAAAAUUUGACAUUUUGAUUGCAAAAGUAAUAUAAACAUAUAAUAAAAUGAUCACUCACUAGAGAAAAGAAAAAUAAAUGAAAAAAUUAUUCCCCUGGGAGAGAUGGCUGAGCGGCUAAGAGCCCUUGCUACUCUUCCAGAUGAGCUGAGUUCUUGACACAUGUCAAGUAACUGACAGCACCUGUAAUUCCAGCUCUGGGAAUUUGACCCUUCUCCUGGCCUCCCAGGCACCUGUCCUAACAUGCUUUUACCCACACGCAGACACGUAAGUAAACAUGAAGAUAAAUCUUCAAAAGAAGGAUUCCUCAUAUGAGUAGCCUCGUGAAGACAGCUCUUGGUGGUUCGUUAGUUACUGGGGGGCGGGGGAUGUUAACAGAACCAGUAUUAUAGAAUACCUAUUAUUCUGCAACUUCCUUUUUUUCUUGAACAUUCUACAAGAAACAUUCUAAAAAUAGAAUAGUUGCUUAGAAGGUGUGGUUAUAUGAUCAUGCUAAUUUUAAUUUUGAUGUGAAGUUACAUAGGAACAUUUACCCAGUACAGAAUUUUGUAUUCAUAUUAUGCUUUUAACCUAAGAACAGAACAAAUGCAGCAGCAGAAACUACUAACUAUCCAAGUAGUGAGAGCCGAAGUUGUGGUUGGGAUCAGCUGGCCAUCAGCACCUCUUGGGGCAGGUGGCAGCUGGGCCACUUGCGGGGGUGGGGUUGGGGGGGACUCUUUAGCAGAGUGACUCAGCAGAGCCAAGCUGACCAAGACCUCAAUCUGUCAGGAAGAUCCUUGUCCUUAGUCAUCCAAUUUCUCUUCUAAGAUGGAGAAAACACUCACAUGUCAGCUCCUCUCUGCUCUGCCAGCUGGAUUUCCCAGGAAUAAGCAAUUUUGUUUGGAGCUAACUUUUGGAGCCAUCAAAGAUAUUUGACCCAAGUUUGAACCCAGGAUCUCCUCAGGCGUCCUACGGACAAGUAUCCUCCAAUGAUUCCAAAAUCCCAUAACCAGAAAUGUUAGCAAAAGAUCUAACAAAGCUGACCUUCAACCAUAGUGCCAUGAAGCUUCCGUCGUCUCCUUGACCAGGAAAGAAAAUCAUCUCCACCACUGGAGGAAGAGUGGGCGGAGAACAGAAGUGAGGACUUAUGAGGGAGGGUCAAAGUGCCUUUCCCAGGAGAAGGGUCCAGACAUUGCUGUUGGUACAGAAUGAUUCUAUAGCAAAGAUAAAUAGAUUAUAUUGAUGGGGGGGAGUCUUCCCGGAAAUCAGUUUGAAGAAAACAUGGACCAUUCAGAUACGUCUGCUCUUUCUACCUGUAUUGUAAUUAGAUCCUUCUGAGAAUUGGACCCUGGAGAGAAAGUAGGGCAGUCGACUUAGGCCUAAGCUGUACACUGUCCUUUGCUGCUGAUAAUGCAAAUGUAAAAGAUGGUUUUUGUGAUGAAACUGUACAGCGGUUAUUUUGAAUAAUCUAUGCGUGUGUUUUGUGAUUUAUUUCAAUUCUUUUGCAAUCAUUUUGAAUAGUCUGUGCACAAGUCCUGUGAUAUGUUUCCAGUCAUCCGCUGCAAUCAUUUGACUAAUGUAUGCCUGAGAUCUGCAGUGCAUUUCCCGUCUCCCAUUUCUCUGAUGCUGGGGUUCGCCUUCCCAACUUGCCCCCAUUGAUCUGUACGGUGUAUGUAAAGCUUGAGUGCACAUGAAUGACUUCAUUAUAGCUUUAUGUUUUAAUUCGACCCAAGGAAGCACGAGUGACUUCCAGGAUUCUAUGAGCUUCAGAAGCCUCGAGUCUGAGAUGAAGUGCAAGAAUGUGAGAGAAUAUAAAUAGAAUCAAAGGGUGAUCUGGCUAGAAGAUAAAUAAUUAGAUAACUGAAUUUCUCUGUUUGUAGGUGUUUGUAAUAAAGGCAAUCUUGUUACCUUAAUUUCCGGUAAUAAGAACACAGAACUGAUUAAAAUGGGGAUGUGUGUGAUCCAAGUGUUUUAGGUUCCUCUUUGCUCAUUUGCAAAUAAACCCUGAGUGGGCUCAUCCACCCCAGUGCAAAUGUAAGCAAAGCCCAGGCAUGAGGAGGGCCCGCUGGCUUCCCUACGUUUUCUUUUCUGUACUUAACGUUACAUGAGAUUUGCUCCUACCUGGUUUACAUCCAGAACGGUUUCUCACAUGAAAACUGACUCUUCUCCCUUGGCCCCAUGAAGCACCACUGUGCUCAGGGCAAACCUGUUGUUUUCUGAUUUUGUAUUUAUUGGCCCUAACAGAUUACUAAAAGCCCAAGGAGGAGGGCGUACGUGUGGUGAGAGGUGAUGGGCUGCCUACUGCAAAACCAAACUCUGGCUUAGGCCUCUUUCCCACACACAAGGCUCCUCUCUCUGAUAGUGUAACCAUCAAGUCCAACAGUAGCAAAUGUAUCCAAAGAUGGGAUUAUGAAUGUUUCUAAGUUAGUUACAGUGACUUGCCAACCCAGAGCGAUGACUGGAUAAUACCAGAUCCAACAGGAAUCCCUAUCACUGCCCUAUCCCUAAUGCUUGGUAUUCAUCCACCCACCCAAUUGUUCAGUUCUUACUACACAGAACUAAGUGCUGAUGUUCCAGACUCUUUGCACACCCUGAAUCCCAGUGAUUUUUUUCAACUCUGGCCUGUGCUCUGAGGACCCUGAGGACAUCCCCAGAGCUAUGCCCUAACUUCCCACCCAAUGGAGAACUACAAACAUGUCCUCAGCACCAAGGUCCUCAGAGCUAUAACCUCCUGGACUUUCUCCUCCUGGGUUUCUUUUUUUUUUCCAAGGGUCUUGGUGCUUCUUCAGACAUGAUGUCAUGACUGUCUUGGUGGUGGGUAACAUGUAGGGGGAGUGGGUAGAUGGUCCUCGUGGUUCCUUGACAAUUUUCAUUCAGAUAUUGCUCCUUUCGGAGCCAGAAGCCUUCCCAGAAAGGCCUAGGUAAGGGUCCCCAGGUUUUCUCAGUGUAGAUUAGCUGCUCUUUCCAUGGUCCUUCUGCGUGAGAGAACCCUGGGCAGCCGGGGUCUCUUGCUCUGUGCCCAGCCCCCACCCUGGCUCUGUCCAAACCAAAGCAAACCCCAUCCAUCUCCUUCUAGUCUCGUUGAGGUGUAUUAUCAGCCAUCCGUUUUAGCUUUACCUAGAACCCCUCACAUCUCAAGAACUAGUUUUUGUAAGUAGAUUAUGCUACAUUUAAAAAACAAACAGACAGAGACAGACACACAAUAACAAAAUGAUUCUCUCUUCACCCCCCAACCCAGCGACAACCAAAGUGUUAUCAGCUUGAAUGGGAAGAAAACUCUCCCUUCUCAUGUCUAGGACUUGUGUAGGACUUACCACACCCCAUCUCCUUGGCUCCCUUCUUUGUGAAAGUUACUUCAUUCACAUGCCAUCCUUACACACGGACAAUAUUGUGCACUCUUGGUACAGAUCAUGAAAUGAACAAUAACCAUAAUGUUUAUAACGAACCACACCUGAACGCCAUACCAGCCAAUUGAAAGGCCAUUGAGCACUCCAAAGAGCCCUUCCUCUACAUCCUGGAUUAGCUUCUUUGUUGAGAGGUGAACUGCCCUCUGUGGGACGUAUACAAGGGUGUAUUGUCAGGAGCAAUGGACAAUGAUGGCACUUUUACCAUAUCCAUAGGCUCAAUUUGGAACCGGCAAGAAAACACUCAUUAAAGGCCCAAACACGACUAAUAUC
rnacentral:sRNA from 1 species